CCUACGGGUGGCAGCAGUGGGGAAUCUUGGGCAAUGGGCGCAAGCCUGAUGCAGCAACGCCGCGUGAAGGAAGAAGGCUUUCGGGUUGUAAACUUCUUUUAUCAGGGACGAAGCAAGUGACGGUACCUGAUGAAUAAGCAACGGCUAACUACGUGCCAGCCGCCGGGGUACUACGUAGUUGGCCAGAUUUAUCCGGAUUUACUGGGUGAAAAGGGCGUGUAGGCGGGAGUGCAGGUCAGAUGUGAAAACUAUGGGCACAACCCUCAGCCUGCAUUUGAAACUGUACUUCUUGAGUGCUGUAGAGGCAAUCGGAAUUGCGUGUGUAGGGGUGAAAUGCGUAGAUAUACGGAGGAACACCAGUGGCGAAGGCGGAUUGCUGGACAGUAACUGACGCUGAGGCGCGAAAGCGUGGGGAGCAAACAGGAUUAGAUACCCUUGUAGUC
rnacentral:rRNA from 1 species